rnacentral:rRNA from 1 species
GACGAACGCUGGCGGCGUGCUUAACACAUGCAAGUCGAGCGGUAAGGCCCUUUCGGGGGUACGACGAGCGGCGAACGGGUGAGUAACACGUGGGUGACCUGCCCUCCAGCUCUGGGAGUAAGCCUGGGAAACCGGGUACGUAAUACUGGAUAUGACUCCAUGACGCAUGUUGUGGGGUGGAAAGCCUUGUGCGGCUGAGGAUGGGCCCGCGGCCUAUCAGCUUGUUGGUGGGGUGGAUGGCCUACCAAGGCGACGACGGGUAGCCGGCCUGAGAGGGC